rnacentral:rRNA from 1 species
UGGGGAAUAUUGCGCAAUGGGCGAAAGCCUGACGCAGCAACGCCGCGUGGGUGAUGAAGGCCUUCGGGUCGUAAAGCCCUGUCAAGUGGGAAGAAACCUCCCUGCGAGGGGAGCUGACGGUACCACUGGAGGAAGCACCGGCUAACUCCGUGCCAGCAGCCGCGGUAAUACGGAGGGUGCAAGCGUUGUUCGGAAUCACUGGGCGUAAAGGGCGCGUAGGCGGUCUUGCAAGUCUGAUGUGAAAGCCCGGGGCUCAACUCCGGAAGUGCAUUGGAAACGGCAAGACUUGAGUUCGGGAGAGGAAGGCAGAAUUCCCGGUGUAGGGUUGAAAUCCGUAGAUAUCGGGAGGAAAACCGGUGGCGAAGGCGGCCUUCUGGAACGAAACUGACGCUGAGGCGCG